rnacentral:rRNA from 1 species
GACGAACGCUGGCGGCGUGCUUAACACAUGCAAGUCGAACGGUAAGGCCCUUCGGGGUACACGAGUGGCGAACGGGUGAGUAACACGUGGGUGAACUGCCCUGCACUUCGGGAUAAGCCUGGGAAACUGGGUCUAAUACCGGAUAGGACCCUGGGAUGCAUGUCCUGGGGUGGAAAGCUUUUGCGGUGUGGGAUGGGCCCGCGGCCUAUCAGCUUGUUGGUGGGGUGAUGGCCUACCAAGGCGACGACGGGUAGCCGGCCUGAGAGGGUGACCGGCAACACUGGGACUGAGAUACGGCCCAGACUCCUACGGGAGGCAGCAGUGGGGAAUAUUGCACAAUGGGCGCAAGCCUGAUGCGGCGACGCCGCGUGAGGGAUGACGGCCUUCGGGUUGUAAACCUCUUUCAGCACAGACGAAGCGCAAGUGACGGUAGGUGCAGAAGAAGGACCGGCCAACUACGUGCCAGCCGCCGCGGUAA